rnacentral:rRNA from 1 species
CCUACGGGUGGCAGCAGUGGGGAAUAUUGCACAAUGGGCGAAAGCCUGAUGCAGCAACGCCGCGUGAGUGAUGAAGGCCUUCGGGUUGUAAAGCUCUGUCUUUUGGGACGAUAAUGACGGUACCAAAGGAGGAAGCCACGGCUAACUACGUGCCAGCAGCCGCGGUAAUACGUAGGUGGCAAGCGUUGUCCGGAUUUACUGGGCGUAAAGGAUGCGUAGGCGGAUAUUUAAGUGAGAUGUGAAAUACCCGGGCUUAACUUGGGUGCUGCAUUUCAAACUGGAUAUCUAGAGUGCGGGAGAGGAGAAUGGAAUUCCUAGUGUAGCGGUGAAAUGCGUAGAGAUUAGGAAGAACACCAGUGGCGAAGGCGAUUCUCUGGACCGUAACUGACGCUGAGGCAUGAAAGCGUGGGUAGCAAACAGGAUUAGAUACCCUUGUAGUC